rnacentral:rRNA from 1 species
UAGGGAAUCUUCCGCAAUGGGCGAAAGCCUGACGGAGCAACGCCGCGUGAGUGAUGAAGGUCUUCGGAUCGUAAAACUCUGUUAUUAGGGAAGAACAAAUGUGUAAGUAACUAUGCACGUCUUGACGGUACCUAAUCAGAAAGCCACGGCUAACUACGUGCCAGCAGCCGCGGUAAUACGUAGGUGGCAAGCGUUAUCCGGAAUUAUUGGGCGUAAAGCGCGCGUAGGCGGUUUUUUAAGUCUGAUGUGAAAGCCCACGGCUCAACCGUGGAGGGUCAUUGGAAACUCGAAAACUGGAGUGCAGAAGAGGAAAGUGGAAUUCCAUGUGUAGCGGUGAAAUGCGCAGAGAUAUGGAGGAACACCAGUGGCGAAGGCGACUUUCUGGUCUGUAACUGACGCUGAUGUGCGAAAGCGUGGGGAUCAAACAGG